rnacentral:rRNA from 1 species
AGUGAACGCUGGCGGUAGGCCUAACACAUGCAAGUCGAACGGCAGCACAGUAAGAGCUUGCGCUUACCGGUGGCGAGUGGCGGACGUGUGAGGAAUACAUCGGACUCUACGUUUUCGUGGGGGAUAACGUAGGGAAGCUUACGCUAACACCGCAUACGACCUACGGGAGAAAGCAGGGGAUCUUCGGCCCUUGCGCGAUUGAAUGAGCCGAUGUCGGAUUAGCUAGUUGGCGGGGUAAAGGCCCACCAAGGCGACGAUCCGUAGCUGGUCUGAGAGGAUGAUCAGCCACACUGGAACUGAGACACGGUCCAGACUCCUACGGGAGGCAGCAGUGGGGAAUAUUGGACAAUGGGCGCAAGCCUGAUCCAGCCAUACCGCGUGGAUGAAGAAGGCCUUCGGGUUGUAAAGCACUUUUGUUGGGAAAGAAAAGCAGCAGGUUAAUACCUCGCUGUUCUGACGGUACCCAAAGAAUAAGCACCGGCUAACUUCGUG